rnacentral:lncRNA from 10 species
GCUCCUGAUAGGCCGCCUGGAUGGGGCGCGCUUGGCCGCGUUCCCGCGUCACACACCGGCUCCAGCUGCGGGAGAGCCCGUCCCACCCCAACUCCCCAGCCGCCCCUCUGAAGUGUUCCGGUGUCACCGUGGCCACAAGGAGGCAGGGGACGGGGGCUUCCUGAAGGAGGCCCCCUAAGGGGAAGGGGGCUACAAGGCUGGCCAGAGUGCUGGCCGCGCGGCUGUGCACAGGGCCUUGAGCCCCUCCGGUCGUCAAGCCUUGCUUGAAAUGCGUAAAUGCGGAAAGGGUCGUGCAACCAACAGCACCCUCCACCUGCAGAAAUCGUCACCUGGCAAAACGGAAACUCUACCCACUAUGCACUAACUCCUCUUUCCCUCUCCUCCGGGCCCUGGCAACCGCCAUUCUACCUUUCGUCUCUGUGGUCUUGACUAUUCUAUGUACUGCAAAUAAAUAGAGUCACACAGCGUUUAUCCUUUUGUGUCUGCAUCUGCCAGGAGGGCGUUGUCAGGUUUAUUUCACUCAGCAUAAUGCCUUCAAGAUUCAUUCAUGUGGUAGCAGGUAUCAGAAUUCCCUUCCUUUUUGAGGCUGAAUCAUAUUCCAUUGUAUGGAUGGGCUACACUGUGCAUUCAUUCAUCUCUCUGUGCACACUGGGAUUGCUGCUACCUCUUGGCUGCUGUGUACAGUGCUGCUAUAAAACAUGGGUGUGUAUACCAGGUGUGGUGGCUCAUGCCUGUAAUCCCAGCACUUUGGGAGGCCCAGGCGGGUGGAUCGCUUGAGCUCUGGAACUCAAGAUCAACCUGGGCAACAUAGUGAGACCCUGUCUCCACCAAAAAUACAAACAAUUAGCCAGGUGUGAUGGGGUGCACCUGUAGCCCCAGCUACUUGGGAGGCUGAGGUGGGAGAACCACCUGAGCCUGGCAGGUUAAGGCUGCAGUGAGCCAUGAUUGCACCACUGCACUCCAGCCUGGGCAACAGAGUAAGACCCUGUCUCACAACAAAAACAAACAAACAAAAGAACACGGGUAUGCAAAUAUCUGUUCACGUUCCUGCUUUCAAUUCUUUUGGGUAGACUGCUGAUGUUUGUUGAUCUCCACCGGUGCCAGGCGUUGUUCUAAGUGUUUUGUAUACAUUAGCCGAUUUCAUCGGACAGCCUAAUGAAGUGGGCACUAACUCUCUUCUUUUCACAGAUGAGGAAACUGAGGCACAGAGCGGUCCAGUCAUGUGCCAGCCAGUGGUGAAGCUAGGAGCCCCUUCACUAAGCACAGUGUUAUCUUGCUUCUCCUCCAACGUUGCUCAGCGUCUGAAAUUCAGCUUGAUGUAUUUAAGUCAGACACAAGAAAGGACUUCUAGACCAAGGAGUUUAGAUGCAGAAAUGGGAGGCUGUCACCAGCCCUGAGACUCUUCCUGGGGAUGCCCUACUGUCUGCAUGGGGUGGGGCCAUUGUGUUCCCUGUUGACAGAUGAGGAAACUGAGUCUCAGAGAAGCAGGCACAGAGGUUGAGGCCUUAAGCCUGAGGUCCCUGCUGCCACCCAGCCUUCCCCAAGAGGAGCAGUGACUUGCUCAGCAUCACCUACAGCUCCAUGAGACCCUGGCUGAAGUCUGCUGACCUCCUCCGGGACUGUGGGAUGGCCAGGACAGCUGACCAGGAGCCACUUUCACGGCACAUCCCCUCCUGCAAAGGAGGGAGCAUGAGGACCCUCAGCAGCCCAGACAUGUACCAUCAGGCGGUGCCCCACCCCAGCCCCACGGGACACUGUCGAUUUGUUGAUAGCCCCCCUGCCCCUUUCCUCCUAGGAGGAAGCCAGGCCAAGGAUUCCUUUUCGUAUUUGGCAGAUGGAGAAACCGAGGCCUGAUGAGGUAUGGCUUCUGCAGCUAUUCCAUGAGCCUGACCCACUGUCCUUGCUGGAGAAGGGCCAUGGGAGAGAAAGCAGGGCCUAUGGGGCAGCAGGACCCCAACCCCAGUGGCCUUCCAAAUAGUGUGGUGUAGGAGGGCUUCCUGGAGGAGUGGGUCCUGGUGGAACUCAUGGGCAUAGGAAGUUCUCUAUGCCAGCUGCAAGCGGCCACUCUCCUCCCCAAGUUCAGCUCUCCUAAAACUCUAGUCUUUCACCACAGCUCUCUGGUACUGAUGCAAAAUGCCUAAGUGCAGCUCCGGUCCCUUCUGCCUGGGGUUCCUGUAGAACAUGGGCCCUUCUCGGAGCCGGCAUAAUUUCCAGGAAAACAGCUGCAGAGCUACGGCCUAUGCAGGGUUCUGCCAAUGACAGAGGCCAGUCACGUGGCAGGACCUCUCUUGGGAAGCCCAGUGCUGCUUCAUGGGGCUGUUUGGAG